UUACUACUUGGAUAACCGUGGUAAUUCUAGAGCUAAUACAUGCUAAAAACCCCGACUUCGGGAGGGGUGUAUUUAUUAGAUUAAAAACCAACGCCCUUCGGGGCUUCUUGGUGAUUCAUGAUAACUUCUCGGAUCGCACGGCCUUGCGCCGGCGACGGUUCAUUCAAAUUUCUGCCCUAUCAACUUUCGACGGCUGGGUAUUGGCCAGCCGUGGUGACAACGGGUAACGGAGGGUUAGGGCUCGACCCCGGAGAAAACGCCUGAGAAACGGCGUUUACAUCCAAGGAAGGCAGCAGGCGCGCAAAUUACCCAAUGCCGACUCGGCGAGGUAGUGACGAUAAAUACUGGUACGGGGCUCUUUAGGGUCUCGUAACUGGAAUGAGUACAAUUUAAAUCCCUUAACGAGGAACAAUUGGAGGGCAAGUCUGGUGGACGACCACAAAUCUCCCGUUUUGCUGGCGCCAGAAAUAGUAGGUCCUAGGGGUUAGCGGCCCCUGAAAACUGCUAGUCGAUUCACCCUUCACAGUGGCAGGUGGGUGACGGCAACACAACCUGGAUCGGGGAAGGCUAAGGGCCCUAUGGCCUAUGCUAAUCCCGAGCGGAGCGGCGCCGGAGCGAUCCGGCGCAUGCCCGUGUAGAGCGCGGAAAGGUGUGGGCGGUUCUCUCCCCAGUGGGGAGGCCGCUUGAGGGACGUGCCUGCCUUCGCGAAAGCGAACCGCUGCUUGGAGCGCCUGCCGCGCAAAGAGCAGUGGGCCCGUGGGGGCGCCCGAAGCGACUACGCUUCGGGGGCUUCAGCGGGUGGAGAUCACUAAAGAGAUCGCUAAAAUUAGGCCAGCAGCCGCGGUAAUUCCAGCUCCAAUAGCGUAUAUUAAAAUUGUUGAGAUUAAAAAGCUCGUAGUUGAACCUUGGGCCUGGCUGGCCGGUCCGCCUCACCGCGUGCACUGGUCCGGCCGGGCCUUUCCCUCCGGGGAUCCCCAUGCCCUUCGCUGGGCGUGGCGGGGAACCGGGACUUUUACUUUGAAAAAAUUAGAGUGUUCAAAGCAGGCCUAUGCUCGAAUACAUUAGCAUGGAAUAAUAGAAUAGGACGUGCGGUUCUAUUUUGUUGGUUUCUAGGACCGCCGUAAUGAUUAAUAGGGACAGUCGGGGGCGUCAGUAUUCAAUUGUCAGAGGUGAAAUUCUUGGAUUUAUUGAAGACUAACUACUGCGAAGGCAUUCGUCAAGGAUGUUUUCAUUAAUCAGGAACGAAAGUUAGGGGAUCG
rnacentral:rRNA from 1 species